GAUGAACGCUGGCGGCGUGCCUAAUACAUGCAAGUCGAGCGAACAGACGAGGAGCUUGCUCCUCUGACGUUAGCGGCGGACGGGUGAGUAACACGUGGAUAACCUACCUAUAAGACUGGGAUAACUUCGGGAAACCGGAGCUAAUACCGGAUAAUAUAUUGAACCGCAUGGUUCAAUAGUGAAAGUCGGUUUUGCUGUCACUUAUAGAUGGAUCCGCGCCGCAUUAGCUAGUUGGUAAGGUAACGGCUUACCAAGGCAACGAUGCGUAGCCGACCUGAGAGGGUGAUCGGCCACACUGGAACUGAGACACGGUCCAGACUCCUACGGGAGGCAGCAGUAGGGAAUCUUCCGCAAUGGGCGAAAGCCUGACGGAGCAACGCCGCGUGUGUGAUGAAGGUCUUCGGAUCGUAAAACUCUGUUAUUAGGGAAGAACAAAUGUGUAAGUAACUAUGCACGUCUUGACGGUACCUAAUCAGAAAGCCACGGCUAACUACGUG
rnacentral:rRNA from 1 species